UCAUUAUUGAAUAAACUUGGUUGGGUUGUUGCUGGCUUUUCGGAGCAUGUGCACGCCUAGCGCCAUUUUUACCACCUGUGCACUUCUUGUAGAUUUGAGACACCUCUCGAGGGAACUCGGUUUGAGGACUGCUGUGCGCAAGCUAAGCUUUCCUUGCGUUUCAGGUCUAUGUUUUUAUAUACCCCAUAAGAAUGUUUUAGAAUGUCAUUAAUGGGCUUCAUUGCCUCUAAAUUAAUACAACUUUCAACAACGGAUCUCUUGGCUCUCGCAUCGAUGAAGAACGCAGCGAAAUGCGAUAAGUAAUGUGAAUUGCAGAAUUCAGUGAAUCAUCGAAUCUUUGAACGCACCUUGCGCUCCUUGGUAUUCCGAGGAGCAUGCCUGUUUGAGUGUCAUUAAAUUCUCAACCUUUUCAGCUUUUGCGAGCUGGAUUGGCUUGGAUAUGGGGGUUUGCGGGCUUCUCAGAAGUCGGCUCCUCUUAAAUACAUUAGCGGAACCUUUGUGGACCAGCUUUGGUGUGAUAAUUAUCUACGCCAUGGUUGUGAAGCAGCUUUAUAUGGGGUUCAGCUUCUAACCGUCCAUUGACUUGGACAAUUUCUGACAUUUGACCUCAAAUCAGGUAGGACUACCCAGU
rnacentral:rRNA from 1 species